rnacentral:rRNA from 1 species
GUGUCAGCCGCCGCGGUAAUACGGGGGGAGCGAGCGUUGUCCGGAAUCACUGGGCGUAAAGGGUGUGUAGGCGUCCCGGUAAGUCUCUGGUGAAAGCCUUCCGCUCAACGGAAGAAUUGCCAGAGAUACUGUCGGGAUUGAGUCCGGGAGAGGGGAGCGGAAUUCCUGGUGUAGCGGUGAAAUGCGUAGAUAUCAGGAAGAACGCCAGAGGCGAAGGCGGCUCCCUAGCCCGGUACUGACGCUGAGGCACGAAAGCUAGGGGAGCGAACAGGAUUAGAUACCCUGGUAGUCCUAGCCCUAAACGAUGGACACUAGGUGUCGGGGGUGUCGACUCCCCCGGUGCCGUAGCUAACGCAUUAAGUGUCCCGCCUGGGGACUACGGCCGCAAGGUUAAAACUUAAAUGAAUUGGCGGGG